rnacentral:other from 1 species
GGUAUGCUGCAAUGUUGGUGACUGCCAAUAUUGUUUUUUGAUCUAUACCCUUUUCAUCGGGAACGAUCCCAGGCUGGCAGCAGUAGACCGGGCCAGUACCCGGAAACUUUAACCCAGCACGACAGUUCCCUCCUGGUUUUUACCAGGUCAAAAACUGAGGUAAGACGGCGUUGCGGUUGCCUU